ensembl:lncRNA
CCCUGUGCCCCCUCUCGCCCCCGGGUGUCCUCCUUCUAGGAGGGGAUGCUGAGGUGGGUCUCCAGGCGGCUGGGAGCGGCCAGCGCUGACCUGCUGACGCCACGCUGUCACUCUUUAAAUAACACCAGCGGGGGAGGGCCUCAUGUUACACACACACACACACACACACACACACACACACACACACACACACACACACACACACACACACACACACACACACACACACACACACACACACACACACACACACACGUACACAUUCUCUCUCUAGAACACACGUAUACACACACAUACACUAAUACACAAAACACACUACGUCCAGCCUAGAUACACACACUAGAAAAAACACACAUACAUACGUAUUCUCUCUCUAGAACACUCGCACUAUACGUCCAGCAUACACACCCACACACUCUCUCUGUCUAGUUCUUGAACACACAUUGACACGUACCCUCAAACACACUUACACACUCCAAUGUCCUCCACACAUUCACAAACUCUGCUGUUAUGUAGCAUUGGCUGACACUGAAGAUCCACAACACACACACACACACACAGACACACACACACACACACAGGAGGAGAGAGUGAGAGAGAGAAAAGGAGAGGAAGAAGCAGACGACAAAACAUAAGAGAGGGGGACCAUGGAUCCUGUGUCCAGGCAUCCAGUGGCUCCCUGAUCCAGGACAGGUUUUCCAGAGAACCCACAGGCAGUGGAAAAAACGACCAAAACAUUAAAUAAACCAGUGCAGUCAGUGACUGUGGAACACAACAGCAUGGACGAGGCACAAGGCCUGUCCCUCGCCCAGCUGCUUGUGGCCCCAUCACCGUGGUAACCACACUGACGAGGAUGACAGGAUGAGAGGAAGGUGACAAGGAGGAAGAGGGAUCAGAGGAAGAUGACGAGGAGGAAAAGGAGGAAGGGGGAUGAGAGGAAGAUGACGAGGAGGAGGAAGAGGUAGGAGAGGAAGAGGACAAGGAGGAAGAGGAUGAGGAGGGAUGAGAGGAAGAUGACGAGGAAGAGGAAGAGGUAGGAGAGGAAGAGCACAAGGAGGAAGAGGAUGAAGAGGGCUGAGAGGAAGAUGACGGGGAGGAAGAGGAUGAAGAGGGAUGAGGAAGAUGACAAGGAGGAGGUGGAGAGAGAGAGGCGUGUUCUCCGGGGUCGUCGGAGGUCGACCUGAGCGGACUCCUGGAUGUGUUCCGCUCAGAUCCCAGCGAGCUGAUUGGUUCGUUACGUGAGAGUUUACCGCUCCCUGAUUAGUUGUUCCACUUAUAGAACUGCUUUGUAAAUAUUGAAUUGGACCGCUGCUCUUCUUAGCCGGGCAUGAUUAAAAUUUCAUGCCGUUUUCAUGCUUUUCACAAAUGAAAAAUUAACCUGCACUUGUGUAGUGACGGGGUAGGGCUGUGUGUGAUGGGUGUGUGUGAUGUUAGGGGUCUGCAUGUGAUGGGUGUGUAUGAUGUUAGGGGUGUGCAUGUGAUGGGUGUGUGUGUGUGUGUGUGUGAUUUGUACCUCACUUCACAGUGAAUUCAGAGAUCUUAUGCCUUUGGUGAGCCAGGCUAAAACUGGACACACACACACACACACACACACUAAAGCUGAUGCAUUUUGAUUGACACAUCAAUAUAAAAACCCAACAGGCUGUAAACCUUGUAAUAAUAUUAACAUAUUCUAAUAAUAAUCCUAAUCAAUGGUAACCGUGUGACAGGCUGCGUCUGUUUGAUGAGGUUUCUCUGCCUCGGUUCCCCACAGGGCAGAGAUCUGAUUUGGAUCGAGAUCCUCUCGUCAUGUCUGACACUAAACUUCUAACCUUCAGAGAGCACCAGAGGAGACUGUCUUCCUCCGUUGCAGGCGGGGUCUAAAUGGCGUGGCGCACGCGUGCGUCACGCCGACGGGUCGCGUGGAGCACGGAGACGUUCAGGUCGUCGGCAUGGGGCAGCCCCUAGUGGCCAGCCGCGGAAUUACAUUUACUACGGUAAUAUUUACCCCAGCAAUACGGUCAAUGUAGCGUUAGUUAACACGGAGCCAUGGAUUCUGAAUCUGAUUAUGUUUAAACGAUGUAAGAGCAUAUGCACACACAC